GUGAAUCAUCGAAUUUUUGAACGCAAAUUGCACUUCCUAGCAUCCCGGGAAGUAUGCCUGUUUGAGGGUCAGUAUUAACAAAAAUAGCGGUUUGGUUGUUAUUUGUGACGUUUCUGGAGUUUGGGUUAUCUCAACUUUUUUGGUUAAGUUGCUUAAAAUUGACCUUUUUUGCGCUUUUUUAGGCGUACAUAAAUUUUUUUUUUAUUCGUCUAUUCUUAAUACCAAAAUCUUAUUAAAUGCGAUCACAUGGUGUUUUUUCGUGUG
rnacentral:misc_RNA from 1 species